CGAACAUUCUGUUGGAAAAAAAGAACCCUAAAUUUCCCCCCAAAACAAUGUCAAUUGCUUCGCUCUCCCGAUUGAUUUCACUCGCAAAUUACCCAAAACAGACCAAAGUUUUCACUUUUCGGUUCAGCUCGGCCUGUUCUGCUGAAAAAUUCUUUACCAUUUUAGAGAAAAAACAAAGCAACGUGGAGAAAACACUAGCUUCAGUCGAUGCCAAAUUGGACCCAAAUUGUGUCUGCGAGGUGUUAAAAAGGUGCUCCUUUGGUGUAUCUCAAAUGGGUCUGAGGUUCUUUAUAUGGGCAGGUCUUCAGUCAAAUUAUAGGUAUAGCUCUUUUAUGUAUAGCAAAGCUUGUGAAUUUUUGAAGAUUAAGCAAAACCCAUGUCUUGUUUUGGAUGUUAUUGAAGCUUACAAGGUGGAAAAGUGUUUGGUUAAUGUUAAAAUGUUUAAGGUGAUUUUGAAUUUGUGUAAAGAAGCUAUGAUUGCUGAUGAGGCUUUGUUGGUACUGAGGAAAAUGCCUGAAUUUAAUUUACGCCCGGAUACUACUGUUUACAAUUUGGUUAUCAGGCUGUUUUGCGAGAAAGGGGAUAUGGAUAUGGCUGAUAAAUUGUUGAAGGAGUUUGGUUUGAUUGAUCUUUAUCCUGACAUGAUUACGUAUUUUGUGAUGAUCAAAGGGUUCUGUAAUGCUGGUCGAUUGGAGGAUGCUUGUGAGUUGUUUCAGACAAUGAGGGGGCAAGGGUUUUCUCCGAGUUCCGUGGUUUAUUCCGUGCUUCUUGAGUGUUUGUGUAAGCAUGGGAGUACAGAGAAGGCAAUGGAAGCUUUGGGGGAGAUGGAGAAAGUAGGUGGGAGUUGUAGUCCAAAUGUCAUCACAUACACAUCAGUGAUUAAAAGCUUUUGCGAGAAGGGUCGGACAAUGGAGGCGUUGAGAAUUUUGGAUAGAAUGGGAGCUUAUGGGUGUGUUCCUAAUCGUGUAACUGUUAUUACUUUGAUCGAGGGGCUCUGUGCUGAGGGAAAUGUUGAAGAAGCGCAUAAGUUGAUUGAUAAAGUUGCUGGAAAUGGUGUUUCCGAUGGUGAGUGCUAUAGUUCUCUUGUGGUGUCUUUGAUUAGGAUGAGAAGACUUGAUGAGGCGGAGAAGGUCUUUAGGAAGAUGUUAGAAAGUGGGACUAAACCAGACGGCAUUGCUUCUAGUGUUAUGAUUAGGGAGAUGUGUCGCAAGGGACGAGUGCUUGAUGGUUUUCGCAUUUAUGAUGAAAUUGAGCGGAUGCAAUUCAUUUCAUCCAUUGAUUCUGAUAUCUAUUCUAUUCUUUUGGUUGGCUUGUGUCAGCAAAGCCAUUCGGUUGAAGCUGCAAGGCUAGCUAGGUCAAUGCUUAAGAAGAAGAUUCGCAUGGAAGCUCCUUAUGUUGAAAAAAUUGUUGAACAUCUGAAAAAUUCUGGAGAUAAGGAUCUAGUUACCCAGCUCAGUAGAAUUGUAAGAUGACAAUCUCAAACAGUCAUCUAUAUACACGCCUUGGACAAACUUCGAUACGGCAUGGGCUUAAAAUCUCAAUUUAUGGUAUAUUACUCUCUUGCUAAUAAGCCUAAAUGGCAUAUCUUGAAAGCCGAAGCGAUUUGUAUUGCUAACCAAAGCCAUAGAUGCAUAUCAGAAUGCUGGUGGACCUCAUCUUGCUACUAAAUAACUUGUUUGUCUGCCGAUCUUUCGUGGGGUUCACCGUUCACGUGCUUUCGUUCAUCCAGGGACCAGGAAAGAGAAAAAUAAAUUCAGGGUUAUCGAAAUAUAUCCAAGUAAAUGCAUCAUGAGAGAGUGCAUUAUUCAUUUGGAAUUUGCAAUGCAUGAAAAAUGUUCUGUUUUGUUCUGGACAAAAUCUUGAAAGGAUCAUUCUUCACCGAAUUGAAAUGAGAAAGUAGGGGAAACUGUGAGCCUCCACCUCUCAAUCUCAUUGUCUUCUUGUUAAACUCAGCUAGCUAAUUUGUUUUCAAGCUCUUUGCACUUUAGGGUUCUUAGAGAUGCUGAAA